GAGGAAUGCCAGAAGUUAUCAGAGGAAAGGAGGCGCUUGUGGUUGGCAAAGCUCAACCAGGAUCUACGAGGGAAAAAUCUGGACAACAUCCGGAUUUGUUCGGCCCAUUUCUUGUCAGGUAAAAAGUCUGACCUUUACCAAAAGGAUGACCCAAAUUGGGUGCCAUCUGUUGGACUGACAGGUCAGCAAGAAGGUUCACCUCAGUCAACCAAAGAAACAGGGAACUCACGCUACAAGCGUCGCAUGAAUCGAA